ACUUUUCUCUUUACUCUAAGCUCCAGGGAAGUCCGGUGCAAAUCCGGCGCGGUCCCGCCACUGUAAUGGCGACGAAAGCCGCAAGUUAAGCCACUGUGCGCCUUAGGCGCGCGGGAAGGCGCGGCGAGUAGAAUCAAGCCAAAGCCAGGAGACCUGCUUAGAACGCGUUAACCGG
rnacentral:ncRNA from 2 species